CGUAGUCGGAUUUUGGCAUCACGCCGAACUGUCUGCCGAUUGGUAAGUACGGUUUGGCGGGUGCUUCCUUCCGGAGGCUCGUUCCCUUCUUCAUUGAAGGGUUCGUUGGUUCCGGGUCUUUUACUUUGAGAAAAUUAGAGUGUUCAAAGCAGGCCUAUGCUCUGAAUAGGUUAGCAUGGAAUAAUAGAAUAGGACUUUGGUUCUAUUUUGUUGGUUUCUAGGACCGAAGUAAUGA
rnacentral:rRNA from 1 species